CUCACUGAGCGCUGCUGCCACCUGCUGGAAGAAUGGCGGUACUACAGGCGCUGUGCGCAACAGAGGGCUCACUGCUGCCGCCUGCUGGUAAAAUAAAGGCGGUGCAGAUGCUGAUCCGCGCACGAGUAGCAGCGCAGUCUCGCGCCCCACUGCCCCAGAUGUGCGUGAGCAAAGCGGCACCCGCAGUACCGCAUUUCAUUCCACGGGCGGCAGCAGCGGGCGCCACGGCACUGGUGCGCAUGCGCAGCGCUGGGGCGGUGGCGUGGAAAUCUGCCUCUGCCUCAGGGGAGCGCUUGGAGCGUCUUGAGGCACUCCAAGGUCCUGGAGUACAUCGUUGAGCAUCCAGCUCUGCAGUCAGGGCCCGGGGCAGGCCUGCCGGGCACUUGGGAGAGCUUCUGGCUGUGGGUUCUGCAGGUUUGCUGCUGCCUGGCUUUCAAAUAAGCCCUCUGGGUGAAGUGCACUGUGCUGUAUAGAUGGAUGCUUGACCUCACCUGGCAUAGCCUGUGCCAUUCCAGUGUGAUUCCUUGGGCAUAUGGCUGUGUCCCAUAGCAGGGUGUUGCACUGCAGCCACUGCAGGUUCCUGGCCAGCUCCCUGGCAAUGCAAUACAGUGAACUCCCUGCCUGUGUCCCCACAUGGAGCACGCCCAAGUGUCCCUGCUGGAUGAGGAGCAGCGGUGAGAGCCCCGUGGUGUGCAAGGGCCAACAACCGCCUGGAAAAUUCCAAUCUGAGCAGUUUUAAUGUUGACAAAAGCUGAAUACAAAAGAACUCUGUUGCAGCAACAGGAGCCAACAGUUCUGAACCAACUUCUGAACCAACAGUUUGCUGCUUGUAGAUUUCUUUUCCUCCCAUCAAUGCCUUCCGAUUUGGAGCUGAAAGACUUUAGGGGACGAAUGCUGACAGCAGGGCUGUUUGCUAAGUGACCUCAGGGCAGUGACCCUAACGUUGUGCUCAGUGUCUCACUUCGCUCCCAGUGUGGCUGCAGUGGGAUGUGUGCUCUGGCAGUGCCAUCCCAUGGCUCCCUGGGGACCCUUUGAUGGCAGCAGAAGAGUUGAGCCAUGCACAGCCAUGGGGGGCACAUCUCCACGUUCCUUGUGCCCCAGCAUGGUACUGAACACAUGCAAGAGGUGAGGAAGCUUCCAGCAAAUGAACAAGGACAACAGCUGCUUGUUCUUCAGAUGUGAUGGCAGAGAACUUUGGGAGUGUACUGGGAAUUCCUGAUGUGCUGGGGUGUAAUGGCUGAAGUGAGGCCCUUUUAAAUUUUGCAUUACAGGGACUGGGCUUUAACUGUUUGAUGUACCGAGGAAGGCAAAGGCAGGUAGCUGACACCUCCCUUGAAAUAAGAAUCUCUACGAUGGUAUUCCUGAAGAAUCUCUCUUAUUGUUAUUGAGUCACUUGGUGGGAUGGCAUAGCAUAAAUGCUAGGAAUGGGGAGUGCAGCCUCAUUUGUCAGGUACUGUAUGAGUCUCAGGGUUGGAAGAUUGCAGUUUGAGGAGGAGGACGACGGAAAGAUGAGGACAACAGUGGCACCAGCACAGAAGUGCCUCUGAGCACAGCAACCAUCCCCCAGCUGGUGACAGCUGUGACCUGUGUCAAGUAAGGCAUCUUGUUAGAAACAGGUGAUGAUGAUUUCUGGCUGCUACAGGUGCAGCUGGGUCCUGCUGAGUGUCCCUCCAGGCCUGGAGGGGGUACAGGUGGUGACUCCCAGACAAAUCUGCUGUCCUUCUCACAGCAGAGGGCCA
ensembl:lncRNA